AAGAAACAGUCCAUUAAAGAAAGGAAGGGGCAAGGCGCAGUGGUUCAUGCCGGUAAUCCCAGCACUUUGGGAGGCUGAGGUGGGAGAAUCUCUUGAAGCUAGGAGUUUGAGACCAGCCUGGGCAACAAAGAAGACCCUAUCUCUAAAGAAAAUUUAAAAUUUAGCCAGGCACGAUGGCGCACAUCUGUAGUUCCAGACACUUGAAAGGUUGAGCCGAUCCACCUGGGAACAAAGAAAGAGCUGCAAUGCAUUGCGGGCUGCUGGUCAGAUCCUGCAAGAUUCCACAAUGAUUAUGAGGCCUCCCCAGCCCAUGUGGAACUUUUUCUUAGGGAGAGGGAGGAGCAGGAUGGUGGAGUAGGAGGCUCCACUGAUCAUCCUCCCUGCAAGGACACCAAUUUAUCAACUAUCUACACAGAAAAGACAUCUUCAUAAGAACCAAAGAUCAGCUGAAUGGUGCCUGCAACUUCUGUGACCAUUUUGCCAUGUUGGGACCAAGUGUGAAUGCAAAGUUUGCACAUAGAGGAGAACUGACCAAUCGGAGAAUGGAAAACUUCUUGAUCAUUGAUGACAGCAGUCAACCAGUGAAGCCAUCAAGCCUGGAGUUUUUCCUACUGCUGGAAUUCUUGUCAUUGCAGAAAAUCAAUGUUGUGUUCUGAUUUGGGGCAUUCUAGCUUGCAAAUAGAGGCAUCUUAGCUGACACCAAAUGCUCCCUAAGGAUAUUCCAAAGAUAAAAUUGAUGUCUUCAUUUUGAAG
rnacentral:lncRNA from 1 species